rnacentral:rRNA from 1 species
UACGUAGGGUGCGAGCGUUAAUCGGAAUUACUGGGCGUAAAGCGUGCGCAGGCGGUUUUGUAAGCCAGAUGUGAAAUCCCCGGGCUUAACCUGGGAAUGGCAUUCGGGACUGCAAGGCUGGAGUUUGGCAGAGGAGACUGGAAUUCCUGGUGUAGCAGUGAAAUGCGUAGAUAUCAGGAGGAAUACCGAUGGCGAAGGCAGGUCUCUGGGCUAUAACUGACGCUCAUGCACGAAAGCGUGGGGAGCAAACAGG